rfam:Stegodyphus mimosarum contig44560, whole genome shotgun sequence.
GCUUUGGUGGUGCAGUGGUGAGCACGCUCGACGCGUAUUCGACAGGUCCGUGGUUCGAGUCCCGACGAGAGCA